GCCCAGCAAAGUAUGGACGGUUCUGAUUUGAUACUUUCUUGGUGUUUUUGGAGGAUUUACAUCCGGUAAAUGACGUUUGAUUCCGGCGAUCUGAGGCAGAGCCUUGUUAUUGAGACGAAGAAUGAUCGCAGCAGAAAGCGAAUGAGAGUCCGGCGGCUCAAGUACAUGUGUCGAACAAGAUCCAGAUGGACGUUAGCGGCGGCGACCAGUAACAGUGCAAACAGGAAGAAACCUAUUGUUUUGCUUUACCUGCGUAGAGAGAUCAUGAACUGGAGAAGCUUUGUAGGAGAAGACAACAGGAGAAAACUACUACACUAAUGCAGAUUGGGAGGUCCUGAACUGUCGUGAAGAAGGUUUAGAUUGGGAGGAAUGAGGAUGAGAGGCUGUGUAGUUGUGGAGCGGAACCAGAUUGCAGAAAAUAAGGGCGUUGAUCUUGGAUCAGUUAAGCAUCUCCUCGCUCAUAUUAAGUAUGAAUUUUUAUCAAAUUCUUGUAUUGAACAACAUCAAAAACCCAAAUCGAUGUUGGUACGAAUACCAGACAAUUGAAUUAAAAGUUCUACUCGAAUUCUGAGGUUAACUGAUGGUAAUACAA